rnacentral:rRNA from 1 species
UACGGGGGGGGCAAGCGUUGUUCGGAAUUACUGGGCGUAAAGGGCGCGUAGGCGGGAUGGCAAGUCGGUCGUGAAAUCCCUCGGCUUAACCGGGGAACUGCGUCUGAUACUGGAUGGCUUGAGAUUGGGAGAGGGAUGCGGAAUUCCAGGUGUAGCGGCGAAAUGCGUAGAUAUCUGGAGGAACACCGGUGGCGAAGGCGGCAUCCUGGACCAACACUGACGCUGAGGAGCGAAAGCCAGGGGAGCAAACGGG